rnacentral:sRNA from 1 species
CGUCAUCGGCCUGCUGGGGACAGAUGAAAUGGAUAUGGGCGUCGAUGCCGCCGGCGGUGACGAUGCGGCCUUCGCCGGCGAUCACCUCGGUGCCCGGUCCGACGAUGAUGGUCACACCCGGUUGGAUGUCGGGAUUGCCGGCCUUGCCGAUGGCAUGGAUGCGGCCGUCUUUCAAUCCGAUGUCGGCCUUGACCACCCCCCAGUGGUCGAUGAUCAGGGCGUUGGUGAUCACCGUGUCCACCGCGCCUUGGGCGCGGGACACCUGCGACUGGCCCAUGCCGUCGCG